UAGAAAAGAAUUCAAGCUAGUUACUUGACGUUUGGACAAAUCUAAUGAAAUUCAGUUCAAUGCAAAAUCAUGCAAUUCAAACAGAGUGCAGAUAUAAGACCUAUGAAUCCUAAUUUAAACAUGAUUGUUAGAAUGUAGGUGAUAUAGAAUAACUCAGAUUACCAUAAAAUUGGAUGAAGAAGCUUUCAGAGUUGACUUUUGCAAAAAAAACGAAGGACAAAGAAAAGGCCUCAAUAAAAAAAUAUACAGAAAGGUUGAAAUGGAAACCGAACAAGUAACAGCUUACAUACCCCUUGCCAAGGAGCUUUUCCAUUUUCAGAUUGACCCUGGAAUCAACGAAGCUGAAGCUGUUAGCAUCAUUAUCAACAAAACAAAUCUAAAUGAGGGGAAACCAGAUCAAGGGACAAGUAGGAUAAUUGACGUGGAAGAAAAAAAUGUAAAUAAGGGGGUUGCUGCUAAAAAGUUGCUUAUUUUAUAAAUGAAGAACCAUUUGCUCAAAAAUGGAAAUUAAAGUUGAACAGAACAACAUUUGCAAACAACUAAACUUCAUUAUUUUAAUCACCUCUAGGAAAAGGAAAAGCAAGUCCCGAUGGUUGUAAUAAAGUAGUUAACUGACCUGACUUCCCAGAGAAGGAAUAACUUGAUGAACUAUCCACUGAGAGUCAACCACAUCAAUUUUCUCAUGUGCAGGCUACACAGGCAAAAUACACUUACAAUGAAACUGAUAAUACGCAGACAUCCAUUUGAAAUACAUACAUGUUUUCCAAUUUUAUCUGUUUUACAUGCCACUGUCCCGCAGAUCUCUCCUUCCAACAGGAAUAUGAAAAGCAGGUAGACAAGCCUUCUUUUCUAAAUCUUUCAAAUAAUACAGUGAUAAGAAACAAAUAAAACCACUGACCUCCACACAUCUCCUUAGUGCAAAAUCCAAUCCCCAACCAUGCACCAAAUCAUUCUAGAAAUGUUAUUGAAAGUAAAAAAUCAGCGUGAGCUCUAAGCUGGAAAGAACCAAGGCUAAUGAGAGCAGCUAAAAGCAAAAAUAGUUGGAGGUACAACAAGGCUUAAAACAUACGUAUACAAAUGACAAAGUUAGAGAAGGGAACCUGAAUCAUAUGCCAAACACAUCGCCAAGCAUCCCGCGAGAAAACAGGAGCCACAAUUUCCACAAAGCUGAAUUCAAAAAGGAAAAACACAAGGAAAAUUAGUUGAAGGUAAAUGUUGAAGCCACCCCAAUCCUUUAUACUUUUCUUAACUAUAUAUCUCCAUUUUAAGGGCCUGAGCAUAAAUCAUGGGUCAUAACUCAACCUACAAACACUACCAUAAAAUCAAAUUUUUCAACAAUAAGACGUGAUAUUGCUAUGAGAUGUCUUGUAGCUAAGCUCUUCUUUUUGGCAAUGGUCAACCUGAUGAAGAAAUAUGACCAUCAGAGAAAGUGAGCUUCUUGUUUCUGGCAAUUUCAACUUUCAAGCCAUGUAAAUAAACAAUAGUUUCCCAAGACAACAUUUUUGUUGUUUUUCAGUUUAAUAUUAUUAUUUUCUUGGGUUAAAGAGAUUGACCUUCGGAAAACCAAACAAUCAAUCUCUGGAAAAUUUAAAUCUUUGGAAAACCAAACAAUCACUCGGAAGAGAAAAAAACAAAUCCUUUUCAGGUUUGGAUUAUAAGAAAAUAAAAACAAGAAAAACAAACUGCAUGGCUCCCAAAUUGCCAUUCAGUCAAUCAAAAGAACAAUGUAUCAGUUCAAAACUACAAAAUUCAAUCUAUUAUGAUAAGUGAACCCUGCUCAAUUACAAUACAAUCUCAUCUCAUACUACCUGGGGUCAGUAACUUGCUAUCAUCUUCUUUCCCGCAGGUGUCUCUAAUAUCAGAAAAUAAUGUUUCUUCCAUUUAUCUCCUUUUUGAAUGCGAAGAAUUAGCAUAAAAGUCCUUAAAAAGUUAUUCAUAAAGAGGUUAACAUAUUUAGUUAACUCUACACUCAUGACUGUAAGCGUUGGUAGAUUUAUUAGUUUCAGAUACUAAAUGAUCCUCAGAUAUCCAUUAAAUAUAGAAGAGAUAAAAAUUCAGACAAAGCCAGCAAUUCUAAAGCCCAAACUGCUAGCCGAAAAAUCGUGGAAUUUUACACAAAUUAUACCAAAACCUCCAAUUCUCUUAGCUAAAUAUAAUAAAUUACCAAAAUUUACGAAACCCACAAUGGGUAUUAGGGCAAAAUAAUUCCCAAGGUCGGUUUUUUUCUUGAAGUGGUUCGAUUAUUAAAGAGGGGAAACAACGAAAGAGAACAAGAUUUCCUAAUGUUGUGCACCAAUUAAGGACGAUAUACUACUACUCCGUUGAAAUGUAGAUAGAAAUUCAGAUUAAUUGAAACAAAAGAAAAAAGAGCGCGAAAGAGAGAGAUUGAGAUAUUGAGAGAAGGAAGAAAGUUGAAGAAAAUAUACCUCCGGUUGCAAGGUUAUUCUCGGUCUGAAGAACCGCGAUACUCUGCAUCUUGGACGCCAUCGUACCUUCUCUUCUAUCUAUCUCCCUGAGAUUAGCUUUCCUUUUUCAGUUCAGAAACUUCUACUGCGGAUUCCGUCUGUAAGUAGUAGAGAGCUACAUUAGAAGAUGUGGCUGGAAUUUGAUGAUGGGGAGGAGAGGGAAAGACAAGUAAAGAGGGGCAGCCAAACAAACGGCUUCCAGAGUCCAAAUCCCAGCUACCAAAGAAAUCACAAACCAGUCUCCUAAAAGCAAUGAAAAAAAUGCUUGCACAACAAAACACAAGAACCAUUAGCAUCAAACAAGUUUUUACAGAGGAGGAGAAAAACAUGAAUACAGAGCAACCUGAAGAGAAGACCCGACCUCACUGGAGAGAAAGAAGAAAGCACAAGAUCUGCAACCAACAGUGAAGAUGGCACGUCCUUGGGCGGUAACAAGCCCGUGGAUGAGAAAAAAAAGAGAAAACUGCACGUCAGUGGACAAGGGACAAAAGAAAUACGAACUUUAGCCAAAAAAAAAAAAACAAAAAAAACAAAAAGAGGGGCAGACCAGAGGUAACCCGAAGAGAAGAUCUGACCUCACCGGAGAUGAAGAAGAAAGCCUAUUACAACAAAACAAAGGAGGAGGUCAACAAAAUUUUGUACCAGGUUCCAGAGGAUGCGGAUAAGUGAUAGAGCAACAUUAUCCCAAAAAAAACCAAAAAAAGAAAGAAAGAGAAUGUAAUGGGAGAGAGAAUGCAGCGGGAAGAGAGCAAAUGCAGCAGAAGAUCAGAAAGACGGAAGCACGGGCACAUGGGACACUGGCAGGCGAGGCCAGAUGGGAAAACUAACGCGCGAUGCGCGAACAACAUGAUGAUUCCAAUCCACAUGCCGGGCACGUGAGAGGACGACGAAAAUUCUGGCUGAAUGGAGUUGCCAUGUUAUCUACUUAUGUUGACUAGGAGGCAAUAACGCGCUUCGCGCGAUAGUAAUGUAAAAUGCCCAUUCCAUUUCUGAAGUAAGAAAAAUAACAUUUCAUUUAGAAAUGUACAUUUUUUAGUAUAUAUAUACCAUGAGUCUGAAGGUUUGUUGAUAUUUCUUGGCUACAAACUUUCAUGGAAGUUGCUAAAUUUCUAAAUUUAAUGGAAGUGCUUUGGAACCUCCAAAGCCUGAAUUUCUAAAUUUUGCUAAACUUCCAAAGUCUGAAAUGCAAAUUUAAAUUUCUAAAUUUUUAAUAGGAACUUCCAAACUCUGAAGUUUUGUUAAUGCAAAUUUAAUGGAGCAUUUUUCUAAAUUUAAUAUAUACCAGCCAUUUGUUUUUUGUAACCAAAGGUAGGAUCAACUUUAUUGCUAAACAUCAAAGUUUAAUAAGUAAUGCCGUUGGAACAUCCAUUAUGAAAGCUUCAAUUGUUGUUUACAACAGUAGGAACUUGCUAAACAUUAAAUUUGCAGUGCUUUGGAAGCAUUUUUCUAACCAGAACUUUUUUCCAUUAAGAACAUAAAUACAACAAAUGCCGUGCAUUGCGUUGAAGCAGAAUCAACGUAAAUCAGAUGUGCCAUCAAAUGGAAAAUGCAAACUGCCAUAGAAACAACUUCUCUAUUCCUUUGCGGUCAAACACCAGCACAACAAAGGGAGUCUUGGAUUGUGGAAUAAAAAGCAAUAUCUGGCCAUUUUUUAGAUCAUGAUCAAUAACAAAACGGUUCCAGUUUUGAUCAAAACAUCUGCCGGUCAUACCAACAUGAUAAUAUUUAUGACUAUUUGUAAGAGUUAUAGUCGUCGUACUAUCUUCAUUUAGCCUUAGAUUCGCAAAUUCUGGUAGAUCCUAUAAAUGUAUGAAAAAAAAUUGUGAUAAGUAAAUACACAUAUGUACAAAAGAAAGAGAGUUAAUAAGGUUAGAGAAUGCAAAACUAUACCAGCUUGUACUUGUACUUUGAUAGAUAAAAUUGAUAGAAGCAAUUGAAUGUAGUCCAGUCAUGUUUUAGGAAUGGAUUCAUAGAUGAGACAAUACGAUGGAGAACUGAUUCUGAGAUUUCAUGAUCUGUUUAUAAAGUAACAAAAGAAACCAUAUCAGCCAUAAUAAAUACCGUCUAAGCAAAAAAUAUAUAUAUAAUGGUAGUAAUAAAUACCGGAUUCUAGGACCUCAUGAAUUGUCCUUAGUCCUUGUAAGGAAGUAAUGGUAGUAAAACAAUCCUUUCAUCACGGCUGUUGCUCUUGUCUUCUCAGCGAAUUUUCGUCUUUGGAGGCCAGAGAAGCUUGAAAUACACAAAGUGAAAUUCAAUAAGACAUUUCACACUAAAAAUGACAUUAGUUGUUUUGUAUAUAAGAAUGACAUUAAUUGUUUUGUAUAUAAGAAGUCAUUUUGUUUUAGACACAUUAACAAUUAUGAUAUACCCAACAUUUUUAUAGGUUAUUAUACCAACGUCAUAAAAAGAAAACCAAGACCUAAAUUGUGGAACUGAUUAUAAAUUAAUUACUGUGGAAAGUAUAUUUAAACUAUUAAUCUAAUCUAGGAUGAACACAAAAAAAUGAAUAAGUAAUGUGCAAAAAAAAGGUGGUCAAAGAAUUUAACUUAUUUCAGAAAUAAUGAACCAAAUAAAGAAUCAAUCUUAGGAAAGCUGUAUGGUCUCGUCUUACAUUAAUUUCAACUUUGUUCUCUAUAUGAUUUCUUGAUUCUUUACCCCAAAGUCUUUUUCUCCCAUCAAGAAUGCUUCAGAAAUUAUAUGAUCAAUACAUACCUAGCUAUUACAGAAUGGCAACAAACUGAAAUGGCAACAACCUAGCUAUUACAGAAUUUCUGUGCUUGAGUCCUCUAACAACUAUAACUACAUAAUACACAUUAACUAAAAAACAUCCAAUGAAACUGCACUCAUAAUCAAACGACAAUGCCUAACAUAGGACAGCAGAUUCCUUCCUCUUUACUGCUUGGCCACAUGAGCAGUCAGUUCAGAAUUCUGCAGCAAAAAAUUAGAAGCAUUCAAAAUCAUUCAAAAUAACCAAUGAAUUCCUAGUCUGCACACACUAUUUAUUCAGUCAAAAGCAUUCAAAAUCAUUCAAGAAGAAUAAGUGUAAUCAUUCAAAACAGCACUCACACAAGUAACUUAUGAAGAUGCCUUUAUACACAACACACCGAAGCAAAAGUAACAUCUCGCAGAAAGAACCAAACACAGAAGAACAUCAUUUACAGGAUAUAAAACAGCAUUUGUCAAAGUCUGAAACAAAAAGAAGUCUCUAAUACAAUUCAUCUUGCUUUAGCAUUCCAAUUGAUCACUUUCAGAAAAAUGAGCUAAAGUAAUAAAUUUCCACGAACAAUAGAAUAAGUUAGUAUAACAAAGAAAUCAUAAUCUCAAAUUCAGAGGCAAAAAACAAAAAAAAAAAAAAAGAACCCUUGUUUUGACAAAUAUAACAAGUAUGAUAAAAAACUGACAAAUGUUGUCAUGGAGCGGAAGACAUUUCAAAUUCAAUUAAGGAAAAAUAACUGGUACAGCCUUUUUUUAUUGUUUCCAUCCCACACAUCAACAUAACCAUCACAACCUCAAGUAGCAAAUGUACCAUAGCUACAAAUCAAAAUCAGUUUUGAGACAGAUUUUGGCAAAAAGCUCAAGGUAUUCAAUCAAUAGAUAAUUGUAAUAGAUCCAACUCAAUCACUCAAUAUAUCUAGAGUUGAUAAAUCAAGCACAUAGGCUUAUAAAUCAUUCAUGGAUACAUUGACAUUAUAAAUCAUUCUCUUUUGUUUGUUCCAUUCCAACUCAAUCAUUGACAUAGCUACCUUAAGAAUACAUGGAUCGGCUCCACUUAUCAAGUUCAAAAAAACAGAUGUUUCCUAAAGACGCAUAGUUAUGAUGAGAAGCUUGAAGGUCGUGAUUGCCUGGGGAAUAUCUAGAGUUGAAAAUUGGAAAUCAGGAAAGAUAAAUUCAGGUUCGAUCGCUUAUUCGUAAGCUGUUAAAGUUUUGAACUGUCCCCAUAAUUGAUUGUUUUUGCCUUGUUUCUGCAAUUAUCUCUCAUAUUUGUUUACAGUAAGCACCAUCACAUCAAGUAAAGAACACUUCUCUUGCACCCUAUAUCAAUCUAACAUGAUUCCAUCUGGUACUGAGACUACCAAAACCCAAGCUCGUAGCCCAAAGAACCUACAACACUUUGUUCACCAUAGCUGAAGACAUACUUGGAACAACUAAGGUACCAUAUACUUUCUUUUUUUUUUCAGUGCAUAGGCAGACACAAACAUAUAUAGUUAUAAUAAAUCACACACACCUCAAACAAAAAAGAAAUGAAUUCUUUCAUAUCUUGAUAAACACUUCAAAUGUAUACUAAUCCUAUGAACAACCAAGUAAAAUGACAUUGAUAUGGUAUGAAGAGACAUACACAUCAGCUUGCAUGUACACUUCAGAACCAAGAUUGAUCAAUGUCCUCAGACUGGUUACACUAUUUUCUCCAAUGUCUCUAUAUUUCUUUUCCAAUCAGAGCUACAAGAAGUUAAGAGAAAAAAAAAGUAAAGAAGCAUUGCAGGUCAAAGGGAACUUGUGCAAAGAAAUAGGAGUCAGAGCAAUAAAGGUGAGUAGUAUCAAUACCCAAAUGCAAGAAAACUUAGAAGGAUACAAAACUUUCUGUUGUUCAAAUACCUCGUUCCUGCAAAAGAGAUACCCAGAAUAUUAGAAAUUUGGCAUAUAACAGAAAUUCCGUCUCCAAAUUCGCAACUUAAUAGUGAAAUAUUAAACAUAAAGUAGGUAAGUACUCCAACUCAUAUAAUCCCACUACUGAUGGUAAUAAGCUCAAUAAAGUGGUAACAGGGGAUGGUUCUCCAAAUAACAACUGUAAGCGGGUGAGUUCAGUAUGAGGCAACCAACGGAUUCCCACCCACACCUCCCCGUCUCAAGAAAAUAGAAAAGGGCAAAAAAGGGCGAAAAAAAAUAGAAGGAAAAGAAAAAAGAAAGAAAAGGAAAUGAAUAUUGGCAAUAUGGGAGUCAAAUGAAGCAAAGUCUAAUCUAUUUAUACACAAAAAAGGAUCACUCUCUUCCAGUUUCAGAUCGUUAGUUUUCACUACUACAGGAAGUUCAGCUACCGCCCGCUAGAAGCAAAAAAAAAAAAAUUUUAAAGACAUCGAGUGAGAGAAUUGGGCUCCAAAACACCCUUCCGUACAAUGAUACAAAGAUGGAAAAAGGACAAAAGAAAAUGAAGAAAGUUACGGGUAAUAACCAGAAAUUAGCUAAUUCAAAGUCCUCCCAAACUGUUCAAUAUAUUUCUUAUCUGCAUUGGCUAGGCGAUCUUGAAACUGCACCCACUCACUUCUGCACCUCUCUCUUACCUACCAAAUUAGAUAGAAAAGAAUUCAAGCUAGUUACUUGACGUUUGGACAAAUCUAAUGAAAUUCAGUUCAAUGCAAAAUCAUGCAAUUCAAACAGAGUGCAGAUAUAAGACCUAUGAAUCCUAAUUUAAACAUGAUUGUUAGAAUGUAGGUGAUAUAGAAUAACUCAGAUUACCAUAAAAUUGGAUGAAGAAGCUUUCAGAGUUGACUUUUGCAAAAAAAACGAAGGACAAAGAAAAGGCCUCAAUAAAAAAAUAUACAGAAAGGUUGAAAUGGAAACCGAACAAGUAACAGCUUACAUACCCCUUGCCAAGGAGCUUUUCCAUUUUCAGAUUGACCCUGGAAUCAACGAAGCUGAAGCUGUUAGCAUC
rnacentral:lncRNA from 1 species